UAGGGAAUCUUCCGCAAUGGGCGAAAGCCUGACGGAGCAACGCCGCGUGGGUGAUGAAGGUCUUCGGAUCGUAAAACUCUGUUAUUAGGGAAGAACAAAUGUGUAAGUAACUAUGCACGUCUUGACGGUACCUAAUCAGAAAGCCACGGCUAACUACGUGCCAGCAGCCGCGGUAAUACGUAGGUGGCAAGCGUUAUCCGGAAUUAUUGGGCGUAAAGCGCGCGUAGGCGGUUUUUUAAGUCUGAUGUGAAAGCCCACGGCUCAACCGUGGAGGGUCAUUGGAAACUGGAAAACUUGAGUGCAGAAGAGGAAAGUGGAAUUCCAUGUGUAGCGGUGAAAUGCGCAGAGAUAUGGAGGAACACCAGUGGCGAAGGCGACUUUCUAGUCUGUAACUGACGCUGAUGUGCGAAAGCGUGGGGAUCAAACAGG
rnacentral:rRNA from 1 species